CUUGAAGAUCGGAGUGCUUGCACUCUGUGAAACAAGAUACAGGCUAGCGGCGGACGGGUGAGUAACACGUGGGUAACCUGCCCAAGAGAUCGGGAUAACACCUGGAAACAGAUGCUAAUACCGGAUAACAACAGAUGAUGCCUAUCAACUGUUUAAAAGAUGGUUCUGCUAUCACUCUUGGAUGGACCUGCGGUGCAUUAGCUAGUUGGUAGGGUAACGGCCUACCAAGGCGAUGAUGCAUAGCCGAGUUGAGAGACUGAUCGGCCACAUUGGGACUGAGACACGGCCCAAACUCCUACGGGAGGCAGCAGUAGGGAAUCUUCCACAAUGGACGCAAGUCUGAUGGAGCAACGCCGCGUGAGUGAAGAAGGGUUUCGGCUCGUAAAGCUCUGUUGUUGGUGAAGAAGGACGGGGGUAGUAACUGACCUUUGUUUGACGGUAAUCAAUUAGAAAGUCACGGCUAACUACGUGCCAGCAGCCGCGGUAAUACGUAGGUGGCAAGCGUUGUCCGGAUUUAUUGGGCGUAAAGCGAGUGCAGGCGGUUCGAUAAGUCUGAUGUGAAAGCCUUCGGCUCAACCGGAGAAUUGCAUCAGAAACUGUCGAGCUUGAGUACAGAAGAGGAGAGUGGAACUCCAUGUGUAGCGGUGAAAUGCGUAGAUAUAUGGAAGAACACCGGUGGCGAAGGCGGCUCUCUGGUCUGUUACUGACGC
rnacentral:rRNA from 1 species